UACGAAGGGGGCUAGCGUUGCUCGGAAUCACUGGGCGUAAAGGGUGCGUAGGCGGGUCUUUAAGUCAGGGGUGAAAUCCUGGAGCUCAACUCCAGAACUGCCUUUGAUACUGAGGAUCUUGAGUCGACGGGAGAGGUGAGUGGAACUGCGAGUGUAGAGGUGAAAUUCGUAGAUAUUCGCAAGAACACCAGUGGCGAAGGCGGCUCACUGGCCCGGUACUGACGCUGAGGUGCGAAAGCGUGGGGAGCAAACAGGG
rnacentral:rRNA from 1 species